AAAAAAAAAUUCAGCUUGACAACCACCCUAAUUUCUUACCUAUGGGUGUCUUCUACCUAAAAAAAUAGGGUGACAGCUUCCGUUAUAUAUACUAUA